UCUUCUUUUUGAGCGGCAAUUUGUUUACAAGCGGCUUCUCAAACACGCAUUAUUCAAAAACCCUAAUUAUCAUCUUCUUCAAUUCUCUCAAUUGAAAUCAAUCUCCAAUUUAUCAUCUCUUCAUCAUUCAUCAGUUGAAAUCAUUCUCCACCGCCUCAUGCUCCAGCCGUUUCUCUCCUCCAAAGCCUAAUCCCAAAUUUGUUAUCCUCCAUUGAUCGUCGCCUCCUCCAAACCCUAAUUCCAAAUUUGUUAUCCUCCAUUGAUCGUGGCCUCCAGUUACAGGUUUCUGGUAUGUGGUCCCGGAAGAAGAAAUCUCAAUCUAUCAUCUUCUCAACUCUGAGCACCACUUCAGUUUGUUCAAAACAAAGUUUGAAUAACGCCCCGAUUCUUCCGACUGGUUAUAUGUAUUUGUAUUAAAAAUCAGGGUUCGUGUGGAUCGUGCUGGUCCUUUAGUACAACCGGGAGCUUUUGAAGAAUCUCACUUCCUUCAAACAGGGGAGUUGGUCUGGCGAUUCAUUGCUAAUGGUGAUCUACUAAUGGUAUCUCAUAGGGCAAAUGAUGUGUGCUGCUAGUAACACGUAAGCUUAGGUUCUUUGCUUCAACUGGAGGCUGCUCCUGAAUAGGAUUCCUGUCAGUCCUAAUUUAAGCAGGAGGGGUGAGGCGGUAGGAUCGAUGUUAUGUCAAUUCUGCAGGCGUGAAAAGGAAAUGACAGACCAUAUAUUCUCCAACUGCUAUCUUACCGCUGAGGUAUGGAGAAGGGUGUCGUGGUGGAGCGGCUUCCCCUUCUACGCGGCUACCAAUGUGGCUGGACUGUUUAAUAUUGCAGCUUCAGUGUCGGGUUCUAAGGCGAGGCGUCGUGGGGCAUUACGGUGUUGUAUACGACUAUUUGGUUUGUGUGGAAGGCUCGGAAUAACUUGGUUUUUAAUAGGCGUCAAACUACUGUAGAAACUCUGAUGGAAGAUAUUAUCACUUUUUAAUGGGUGGUUAACAGGUCCAAAAAUAGGUCUCUAUCUUGGCACACUUGGAGAUGUUCUGCUGUGGCUUGCUUUUAGUAUGCAUGGUUAUUGUUGUUACUUUUAGUUUGUUGAUGGCCUGUGGCCGUUUUUCUCUGUUUGUACUUGGUUCUCUUGGCUUCGCGCUGUGGUGUGUUAAUGAGCAGUGCCUUUUUCUAAAAGUUAUUGCAUUUCUUAUGAAUUUCUCACUUAUUAUAUUGUGGCUAUUAUGGUUUAUGUAGAUUCACGCAAAGACACGGUAAUAGAGGACAGCUACAUUAGUGUGGGCGAUGAUGUCAUUGCAAUAAAAGGUGGUUGGGAUCAGUAUGGUGCUGUUUAUGGUCGACCUUCAAAAAAUAUUCUUAUCUGAAAUCUUAUGGUUCUUUCGAUGGUGAGGUGAGAUUUCCAUGCUAGGUUUUUCUAUCAUUUAUAGUUUUAUGACUUUAUCUUUUAUUUAUGUGGAGUCGUGUUCAAUAUUUAAACGGUUUUAAGUAGACUUUAUCUUUUAUUUCUGUCAAACAAGCUACUAUUUUAAUAUUCCUGAUCUUUACUUGAACUAUGUAUCCAUUUGAGAAAGAUUCCCUCAAAUUUCAUAUAUAGUGUAAAGUUGAGAAAAAUGUAGAAUAUCUGACUAUAGACUAUUAGCCAAAUGUCUUAAAUACCCUUAUAUAGUUACAAAUUAUUAAUUAUACUUGACAAUGAGAAUGAAAUAAUAAGAUGAGUGGUAAAUUUGUGGACCUAUUCGUACAAGUUUCUUGCUCUCUACCUCUAGCCCAUCUCAUAAAUGAGAAGAUAUCUCUCUCUCUCUCUCUCUCUCUCUCUCUCUCUCUCUCUCUCUGUUCAUGGUGUUGGACUUUUUAGCACCGAUUGGGAGAAGCUCUCUUACAACAAAGGGAUUAAUAGAUUUCGUAAGCCCUAAGAAGAAGGUUUGAUAUGUGAGAUACUAUAAAGUGAUGUACCGUGAUGGAAAUGUGCAGCAGCAACAACAAAUUAUAUUUAGAUGGAAUAAUCGGGCGUUAUCAAAAGUAAAUCUAUUUUUGUGGCGGGCAAUUGCUUUGAAAUUUCUAACUUUGGAUGCAUUGGCUACGCGGGGUUUGGUAAUCAUUAAUGAUCUAUGUUCGUUAUGUUGAUGUGCGUAAGAGUCAGCAAAACACAUGUUAUUUUCUCACUCGGUUCACGCCUUGGCUCUGGCCAAGGCACACUUCGUGACAGGAGCGCUGAUCCAAUGAAGCUCACGCUAUGCAUGAGAAGUUGCAGUCUCACCCAAAUGUAGGCGUGAGCAAGAAAAUAUAUAAAUUUGUGUUCAGCUUCAAGGGAAUGAAUGUCUUUAAAGUUUUUUUUUUUAUUAUUAUAAGUUUAUUACAAAUUCAGCUAAAUGAUGUUUACAAAUGUCUCCUUAAAUUGGAAUGGGAUGGCAACUUAUUGCAUAUUAGGCAACUUAUAUGUAUAUUUUAGCAUAUAUAAAUCUAAUUUUAAGUUGAUACACCAUGAGUUUUCAUA